rnacentral:rRNA from 1 species
CCUGUUUAACAAAAACAUGUCUUUUUGAGUUAUUUUUAAAGUCUGACCUGCCCACUGAAAUUAUUUAAAUGGCCGCAGUAUUCUAACUGUGCAAAGGUAGCAUAAUCAUUAGUCUUUUAAUUGAAGGCUGGUAUGAACGGUUGGACGAGGUAUAAGCUGUUUCAUGUAAAUUUAUAAUAGAAUUUUAUAUUUUAGUCAAAAAGCUAAAAUUUAAUUAAAAGACGAGAAGACCCUAUAAAUCUUUAUAUUUUAUGUUAUUUAAAUUUUUUAGAUUUGUUUUAUUUUUAUAAUUUGAAAUAUUUUGUUGGGGUGAUAUUAAAAUUUAAUGAACUUUUAAUAAUUUAAAAUCAUUAAUUUAUGAUUUAUUGAUCCAUUAAUAGUGAUUAUAAGAUUAAGUUACUUUAGGGAUAACAGCGUAAUUUUUUUGGAGAGUUCAUAUCGAUAAAAAAGUUUGCGACCUCGAUGUUGGAUUAAGAUAUAUUUUUAGGUGUAGUCGCUUAAAU